rnacentral:rRNA from 2 species
UAGAUCUCAAAUCAGGUAGGACUACCCGCUGA